CUCUGCCGCCGUCUUGCGACUCGGCGGCGUAAGGAGUGAGGGCAGCAGCCCAGGGGCUGCAGCUGAUUGUGGGGCUGAUACCGAAUUAAACACGCAUUUCUGCGUGUACAGAAACAUGGUCAUGGGCAAGGCGACAGUGAUUCACAAGAUGAGGAAGAUCCAAAGGAACAUAGCUGCCUACAUAAAACUCCAAAAUGAUGAAUAUCCAAGCCCCUGCCCAAAUGCCCCUUGGCUGCAAAGACAUUCAAGGGCAUUUCCAAAUAAAAAGACCUGACUUGUGGAAAACAGUGGUGGAAAACCCACGGUGAGUGAGGAAGGGAAGCCACUUGCUAUUUGGAUCUAGUUGUUAUCCAGGUGCAUUAUCCUAUGGUUGUGUUAUGAAAACCUACCAAGAAUCAGGCUGAACUCCAGAUUGGGCUGGAACGCCACAACCAAACUGCAUCUGUAUGUAAGCUGCCAGAGCCUCUCAGUGCUGUGCUGCUCUGGGCUAAACAUACUUUGACAGCAUGCUUUCCUUUGCAAUCAUAUUUUAACUUGCACAAAUCCCCCAGGGUAAUUAACAAUUUGCUGCUGGGCAAGCAGGCAGCCCUUCAAAUCCUGACAUGUACAAGCAGGGUUAGCAUCUGAGCCCCAGUCAUGUACUGCAUUGCUGGUGGAGAAAAAGGGUCCUCAGAAGACCUCAGUCCCACCAGGGCCUGCGCAGUUGACCAUUGUUGAAAUGUUACAGCACAAACCUGGGGUGUAAAAGAUGUGUUUGACAGAAGCUUUGAACCUCUGUUUCCCAUCUACUAGCAGAGUGCUCAAAUCACUGAACUUACAGGGUCUUGCAAGGUAAAUUUUUGCCUCCGUUGUUCUUGACAUGGCCGGGGUGAGCACAGCCCUGAUCUUGGUGAGGGAAAGGAAUCUGUAGCACUGCUAGAGGACUAACAGCCUGUGCCCCAGAGUAAGAGUUUGCCUCAGGCGGAGUUAGUGGGAGGAGGCUGCAACUCUGACAGGGCUGUUUCUGCCCCCUCCUUCAGCAGAUUUGUUCUUAUAAGCUGUUCUGCUUUAUGAAAUACUUAAAUAUGAAACUGGAAUGAGGUCUGGGACUCGAGUCUUCCCGGAGAGCAGCACCACCACAAGGCCGUAAGGUCAUUUCUACUCUUAGGCACAACAAAUAUUCAUUCAGACUGAGACAGCUUCAAAACAAAUGUCUGACAUGAAUCUCAUCAUAGCCUACAGCCCAACAGGGAGGGCUCAGCUCACAAUUAAAUAUGUGCCCUGAUUUAAACCCAGGUCUUCUGUAUCCUUUGCUCAGCAGCACACAGGACACGUGAAGAUGACACUAACUCCUCCUCAAUUAUUCUGAGUGAAAGGAUUGGCCUUUGUCCUGCAGUCUAACUGUGAAGAAAGUGCAUGGAUGAGUACUAAAAGGAAGACAACAUGUUAAACCAGUCUUGCUUUCAGUGUCUGAUUCCUCAGGUAGGUUAGGACUUGACUCCUGCUUGUUUCCCCAACACCUUGCAGCAGGUAGGGCAGGUCCCACCCAAUGUGCAGUAGCUAGCUCAGUGCUCACUGUCAACUUACAAACAUGUCUCAUGUCCAGCAUAGCAGAGAUCACCAGACACUGAUCUUGUAGCCAGCAGUCCCAGCAGGCAGGCAUCCCUAUGAACUUGUGCUGUGUUGCUGAGAAACAUUAUCCUGAGGUUUGGCUUUGGUCUGCUACCAAAGCCAAACCUUUCUAAUACCUGUGUGCUCUCAAUGGAGAUACUCAUCACAUAGAAUCAUAAAAUAGUUGAGUUGGAAGGGACCUUCAAAGGUCACCUAGUCCAACCCCCCCUGUAAUGAGCAGGGACAUCUUCAACUAGAUCAGGUUGCCCAGAACCACAUCCAGCCUGGCCUUGAAUGUCUGCAGGGGUGAUGCAUCCACCACCUCUCUGGGCAACCCAUGCCUGUGUUUUACCACCCUCACUGUGCAAAAUGUCUUCCUCAUGUCUAACCUGAAUAGAAAAUCAUAGAGUAGUUUGGGUUGGAAAGGACCUUCAAAGGUCAUCUAGUCCAACCCAACAUGGUGCAAGCAAGAUGUAUUUGUGGGACUUGCUCAGGGUUGUUCUUUUUAUAUUGCCAUAACAAGAAUAUUUGUCAAACAUUUUAUGCAUGUUAGUUUUGAGGUAGCAUUUCGAUUGGACCAGAUUCAUUAGGAGUAAAAACUGCCAUGGAUGGCUCCACUGAGGUCAGCAGAGGGAAACUGACUUCUAUCAGUACAGAUCAGAGCUAAAAAGCAAGGGG